CCUACGGAUGCACCAGUGGGGAAUAUUGCACAAUGGGCGCAAGCCUGAUGCAGCCAUGCCGCGUGUACGAAGAAGGCCUUCGGGUUGUAAAGUACUUUCAGCGGGGAGGAAGGUGUUGUGGUUAAUAACCGCAGCAAUUGACGUUACCCGCAGAAGAAGCACCGGCUAACUCCGUGCCAGCAGCCGCGGUAAUACGGAGGGUGCAAGCGUUAAUCGGAAUUACUGGGCGUAAAGCGCACGCAGGCUGUCUGUCAAGUCGGAUGUGAAAUCCCCGGGCUCAACCUGGGAACUGCAUUCGAAACUGGCAGGCUAGAGUCUUGUAGAGGGGGGUAGAAUUCUAGGUGCAGCGGUGAAAUGCGUAGAGAUCUGGAGGAAUACCGGUGGCGAAGGCGGCCCCCUGGACAAAGACUGACGCUCAGGUGCGAAAGCGUGGGGAGCAAACAGGAUUAGAUACCCGCGUAGUC
rnacentral:rRNA from 1 species